rnacentral:rRNA from 1 species
UGAGGAAUAUUGGUCAAUGGGCGCAGGCCUGAACCAGCCAAGUAGCGUGAAGGAUGACUGCCCUAUGGGUUGUAAACUUCUUUUAUAUGGGAAUAAAGUUUUCCACGUGUGGAAUUUUGUAUGUACCAUAUGAAUAAGGAUCGGCUAACUCCGUGCCAGCAGCCGCGGUAAUACGGAGGAUCCGAGCGUUAUCCGGAUUUAUUGGGUUUAAAGGGAGCGUAGAUGGAUGUUUAAGUCAGUUGUGAAAGUUUGCGGCUCAACCGUAAAAUUGCAGUUGAUACUGGAUGUCUUGAGUGCAGUUGAGGCAGGCGGAAUUCGUGGUGUAGCGGUGAAAUGCUUAGAUAUCACGAAGAACUCCGAUUGCGAAGGCAGCCUGCUAAGCUGCAACUGACAUUGAGGCUCGAAAGUGUGGGUAUCAAACAGGAUUAGAUACCCUGGUAGUCCACACGGUAAACGAUGAAUACUCGCUGUUUGCGAUAUACGGCAAGCGGCCAAGCGAAAGCGUUAAGUAUUCCACCUGGGGAGUACGCCGGCAACGGUGAAACUCAAAGGAAUUGACGGGGGCCCGCACAAGCGGAGGAACAUGUGGUUUAAUUCGAUGAUACGCGAGGAACCUUACCCGGGCUUAAAUUGCACUCGAAUGAUCCGGAAACGGUUUAGCUAGCAAUAGCGAGUGUGAAGGUGCUGCAUGGUUGUCGUCAGCUCGUGCCGUGAGGUGUCGGCUUAAGUGCCAUAACGAGCGCAACCCUUGUUGUCAGUUACUAACAGGUGAUGCUGAGGACUCUGACAAGACUGCCAUCGUAAGAUGUGAGGAAGGUGGGGAUGACGUCAAAUCAGCACGGCCCUUACGUCCGGGGCUACACACGUGUUACAAUGGGGGGUACAGAGGGCCGCUACCACGCGAGUGGAUGCCAAUCCCUAAAACCCCUCUCAGUUCGGACUGGAGUCUGCAACCCGACUCCACGAAGCUGGAUUCGCUAGUAAUCGCGCAUCAGCCACGGCGCGGUGAAUACGUUCCC